rnacentral:rRNA from 1 species
UACGGGGGGGGCAAGCGUUGUUCGGAAUUACUGGGCGUAAAGGGCGCGUAGGCGGCCAACUAAGUCAGACGUGAAAUCCCUCGGCUUAACCGGGGAACUGCGUCUGAUACUGGAUGGCUUGAAUCCGGGAGAGGGAUGCGGAAUUCCAGGUGUAGCGGUGAAAUGCGUAGAUAUCUGGAGGAACACCGGUGGCGAAGGCGGCAUCCUGGCCGGCAUUGACGCUGAGGAGCGAAAGCCAGGGGAGCAAAGCGG